AACAACUCUAGUUGUCCAGUGUUUGAUUUGUAAAACUGUUUCAGGUACAGGAUAAACUGGAGGCAAGGGACAUGACAA
rfam:Medicago truncatula strain A17 chromosome 4, whole genome shotgun sequence.